GGCCGCGGGAAUUCGAUUCAGGCCUAACACAUGCAAGUCGAGCGGCAGCACAAGGGAGUUUACUCCUGAGGUGGCGAGCGGCGGACGGGUGAGUAAUGCCUAGGGAUCUGCCCAGUCGAGGGGGAUAACAGUUGGAAACGACUGCUAAUACCGCAUACGCCCUACGGGGGAAAGGAGGGGACCUUCGGGCCUUCCGCGAUUGGAUGAACCUAGGUGGGAUUAGCUAGUUGGUGAGGUAAUGGCUCACCAAGGCGACGAUCCCUAGCUGUUCUGAGAGGAUGAUCAGCCACGCUGGGACUGAGACACGGCCCAGACUCCUACGGGAGGCAGCAGUGGGGAAUAUUGCACAAUGGGGGAAACCCUGAUGCAGCCAUGCCGCGUGUGUGAAGAAGGCCUUCGGGUUGUAAAGCACUUGCAGUAGGGAGGAAAGGUUGUAAGUUAAUACCUUGCAGCUGUGACGUACCUACAG
rnacentral:rRNA from 1 species